UGAGGAAUAUUGGUCAAUGGUCGCAAGACUGAACCAGCCAUGCCGCGUGCAGGAUGAAGCAUCUAUGGUGUGUAAACUGCUUUUGUACGGGAAGAAACACUCCUACGUGUAGGGGCUUGACGGUACCGUAAGAAUAAGGAUCGGCUAACUCCGUGCCAGCAGCCGCGGUAAUACGGAGGAUCCAAGCGUUAUCCGGAAUCAUUGGGUUUAAAGGGUCCGUAGGCGGCUUUAUAAGUCAGUGGUGAAAUCCGGCAGCUUAACUGUCGAAUUGCCAUUGAUACUGUAGGGCUUGAAUUGUUGUGAAGUAACUAGAAUAUGUAGUGUAGCGGUGAAAUGCUUAGAUAUUACAUGGAAUACCAAUUGCGAAGGCAGGUUACUAACAAUACAUUGACGCUGAUGGACGAAAGCGUGGGUAGCGAACAGGAUUAGAUACCCUGGUAGUCCACGCUGUAAACGAUGGAUACUAGCUGUUUGGUUGUAAGACUGAGUGGCUAAGCGAAAGUGAUAAGUAUCCCACCUGGGGAGUACGAACGCAAGUUUG
rnacentral:rRNA from 1 species